rnacentral:rRNA from 1 species
UGGUGGAGUGAUUUGUCUGGUUAAUUCCGUUAACGAACGAGACCUUAACCUACUAAAUAGUGACGCGGUUCCCGAACCGCGGUCCACUUCUUAGAGGGACUAUCAGCGUUUAGCUGAUGGAAGUUUGAGGCAAUAACA